UCGAGCGAAUGGAUUGAGAGCUUGCUCUCAAGAAGUUAGCGGCGGACGGGUGAGUAACACGUGGGUAACCUGCCCAUAAGACUGGGAUAACUCCGGGAAACCGGGGCUAAUACCGGAUAAUAUUUUGAACUGCAUGGUUCGAAAUUGAAAGGCGGCUUCGGCUGUCACUUAUGGAUGGACCCGCGUCGCAUUAGCUAGUUGGUGAGGUAACGGCUCACCAAGGCAACGAUGCGUAGCCGACCUGAGAGGGUGAUCGGCCACACUGGGACUGAGACACGGCCCAGACUCCUACGGGAGGCAGCAGUAGGGAAUCUUCCGCAAUGGACGAAAGUCUGACGGAGCAACGCCGCGUGAGUGAUGAAGGCUUUCGGGUCGUAAAACUCUGUUGUUAGGGAAGAACAAGUGCUAGUUGAAUAAGCUGGCACCUUGACGGUACCUAACCAGAAAGCCACGGCUAACUACGUGCCAGCAGCCGCGGUAAUACGUAGGUGGCAAGCGUUAUCCGGAAUUAUUGGGCGUAAAGCGCGCGCAGGUGGUUUCUUAAGUCUGAUGUGAAAGCCCACGGCUCAACCGUGGAGGGUCAUUGGAAACUGGGAGACUUGAGUGCAGAAGAGGAAAGUGGAAUUCCAUGUGUAGCGGUGAAAUGCGUAGAGAUAUGGAGGAACACC
rnacentral:rRNA from 1 species